rnacentral:rRNA from 1 species
CGGUAAUUCCAGCUCCAAUAGCGUAUACUAAAGUUGUUGCAGUUAAAAAGCUCGUAGUUGGAUUUCUGCGGGGACGGAGCGGCCGGACGCAACUUGCGUCUCGAGCUAGCGCUUUCCCCGCAUCCUGCCGCGAACCGUGCUACCAUUAGCUUGGUGGCGCUGGGGAUCGGCUCGAUUACUUUGAGAAAAAUAGAGUGUUCAAAGCAGGCCACACGCCUUGAAUAAGUUAGCAUGGAAUAAUGACUAAGGACUUUGGUUCUUUUCGUUGGUGUUCGGGACUGAAGUAAUGAUUGAUAGGGACAGUUGGGGCGGUCUGUAUUCCAAAGCGAGAGGUGAAAUUCUUAGACCUUCGGAAGACAAACAGCUGCGAAAGCGUUCCGCAAGGAUGUUCCCUUGAUCAAGAACGAAAGUUGGGGGAUCGAAGACGAUCAGAUACCGUCGUAGUCUCAACUAUAAACUAUACCAGCUAGGGAUCGGCCAACGUUUAAUUAUUCGACUUGGUCGGCACCUUAUGAGAAAUCAAAGCAUCUGGGUUCCGGGGGGAGUAUGGUCGCAAGGCUGAAACUUAAAGGAAUUGACGGAAGGGCACCACCAGGCGUGGAGCCUGUGGCUUAAUUUGACUCAACACGGGAAAACUUACCAGGUCCAGACAUAGGAAGGAUUGACAGAUUGAUAGCUCUUUCUUGAUUCUGUGGGUGGUGGUGCAUGGCCGUUUUUAGUCGGUGAAGUGAUUUGUCUGCUUAAUUGCGCUAACGGACGAGACCCCAGCCUGCUAAAUAGCGCGGCCGAGCUUUGCUCGGUGCGAGCUUCUUAGAGGGACCAUGAUGCGCGAUAGCACAAGGAAGUUUGGGGCAACAACAGGUCUGUGAUGCCCUUAGAUGUUCUGGGCCGCACACGGGCUACACUGGCGCCUGCAACGAGCAUAUCAGCUGGCCCGAGAGGGUCUUGGCUAAUCUUUGGAACCGGCGCCGUGCUUGGGAUUGACCAUUGCAAUUGUUGGUCAUGCAACGAGGAAUGCCUUGUAAACGCGAGUCAUCAGCUCGCAUUGAAUACGUCCCUGCCCUUUGUACACACCGCCC